GUGUUGUCUUCAGCAGCACAUAUACUACAACUUAAAUAAUUCAGAGAAGAUUAGCAUGUACCCUAUCCAAGGAUGACAUAGGAAUUUGUGAAGUAUUCUCUAUUUUU